UGCCAGCCGCCGCGGUAAUACGGGAGUGGCAAGCGUUAUCCGGAACUAUUGGGCGUAAAGCGUCCGCAGGCGGUCUGAUCAGUCGGAUGUGAAAGCCCCGGGCUUAACCUGGGAAUUGCAUUCGAUACUGUCAGACUAGAGUAUGGGAGAGGGAAGUGGAAUUUCUAGUGUAGCGGUGAAAUGCGUAGAUAUUAGAAGGAACACCAGUGGCGAAGGCGGCUUCCUGGCCCAAUACUGACGCUCAGGCUCGAAAGCGUGGGGAGCGAACAGGAUUAGAUA
rnacentral:rRNA from 1 species